rnacentral:rRNA from 1 species
CCUACGGGGGGCUGCAGUCGAGAAUCUUCGGCAAUGAGCGCAAGCUUGACCGAGCGACGCCGCGUGCGGGAUGAAGGCCUUCGGGUUGUAAACCGCUGUCGUAGGGGAGCAAGAGAUGAGGGUACUCCCUCAAAUUUGAGCGAUCCUAGGAGGAAGGACGGGCUAAGUUCGUGCCAGCAGCCGCGGUAAGACGAACCGUCCAAACGUUAUUCGGUAUCACUGGGCUUAAAGAGUUCGUAGGCGGCUCCGUAGGUGAGGUGUGAAAUCCCUCGGCUCAACCGAGGAAUUGCGCUUCAAACCGUGGAGCUAGAGGGAGACAGGGGUAAGCGGAACAGAUGGUGGAGCGGUGAAAUGCGUUGAUAUCAUCUGGAACACCGGUGGCGAAGGCGGCUUACUGGGUCUUUUCUGACGCUGAGGAACGAAAGCUAGGGUAGCGAACGGGAUUAGAUACCCCGGUAGUC